rnacentral:misc_RNA from 1 species
UUUUCUUUAAAUAGGGUGCGCUGACACGACAAAGAAGAAAGCCAUGGGUUGUUUAGUAGGGUUAGGGAGGAUAUUGAUAGUCAUUAUCAACAUCAUAUUUCUGAUACUUGGUUUAGUGUUCUUUGCCCUGGGACUCGUCUGUCUCGUGGGAGAGUCUAUGCUGAAACCUUACUACCAGAGUGUACUGGAUACACUCAAAGCUCAGCUCGAGGCCAACAACUUUGGUACCAUUGACCUCUCGUCCUUCAACAUCAGCGCCCUGAUCGGGGGCCUGGGCUACUUCUUCGUGGGUCUGGGCCUCUUCCUGCUGAUCAUCACCAUUCUGGGUUGUUGCGGGGCCUGUUGUAAGGUCAAGUACAUGCUGAUCACGUAUGCUGUCAUCGUCAUCGUUAUUCUCACCGGAGAAAUCAUCUUCAUGGGGAUUCUGUAUGGGUCACCAGACACGAUAAAGGACGAGAUGAAGGGCCCUCUAAAGGCAUCUAUUCAAAGUGAUUACAUGGGAUUUAAUGGCACCAACAUUGUUAGUCUAGGCUGGAAUUUCGCUCACAGACAGUUUUCGUGCUGUGGAGUGGACAGUUACAACGAUUUCACGGGCGGAGUCAAAUGGAACACAAACUACGGUGGCGGGCUGAAGGCCCCGAUCACGUGCUGUAUCACAAUACCUGACUCAGGCACGCCUACCUGUGCCGAGACACCCUCUGACAUAUACACAAAGGGGUGCUUUGAUGAAGUCUACAACAUGUUGCUGGGUAACGUGUCCCUGGUGGCUGGCUCCAUCGCUGGAUGCGGUUGCUUUCAGCUUGUUUUGAUCAUCUUUGCAUUGAUAAUUUUCUGCGACGCUCGACAAUCAUCAAAAGUCAAUCCGAAACAAUAGACUUUCAACAAUCCCCCGCCACCAACUCCUUCAGCACCAUCCUAAAACAUACGCAACUUUAUAAACGCAAAACUCACAGGAUGCAACUCAGAAUGUUUACUGAAAGGACUGGAAUAGUUACUGAAUAACACAACAACAGUCAGCCUUCAGUCAACAUUCAGUCACAUUUCUGUCAUAUUUCAGUUGACUAAAUUGUAGAGUUUCAUCAUGUGACUGGAAUAUACUAGUCACGAAGUAACCACAAUAAACAAGACAGUUUCCGUCCAUUUAUUUAUUAUUAAAGUAAAAAAAAAAUUCAACAAUUUGGAUAACCAUACAGAGGGGAUUUAUUUUCAGGAAAACUAUAGAGAAUUACAGAGACUACUGUGUUUGUUUGUGACUGUACUGUUAUUAUACUAUUUUGAUAUAUAUUUGCCAGUCAUUUAUCGUCUGCUGAGCAGAAAUUGUUGUAUCCUGUUGAAUUAUUAUGUUUGCAUCUUUUGACCAUUGUCUUGUAUUUAUUUUUGGUAACAUGAAUAAUGAGGGUCCAAUGAUCUGAAAAUGUUAAUCUGUUUAUGCAAUAAAUUGUUUUUUUUACAGUCUGGCUUCUGUUAGUGUCGUAGCAAAGAUAAUGCUGUGCAUCUGCCUGGAGCAGAGAUCACAUCUAAAUGUCAGUUGAAAAAAAUAUAUGUAGCCUU